rnacentral:rRNA from 1 species
GAUGAACGCUGGCGGCGUGCCUAAUACAUGCAAGUCGAGCGAACAGACGAGGAGCUUGCUCCUCUGACGUUAGCGGCGGACGGGUGAGUAACACGUGGAUAACCUACCUAUAAGACUGGGAUAACUUCGGGAAACCGGAGCUAAUACCGGAUAAUAUAUUGAACCGCAUGGUUCAAUAGUGAAAGACGGUUUUGCUGUCACUUAUAGAUGGAUCCGCGCCGCAUUAGCUAGUUGGUAAGGUAACGGCUUACCAAGGCAACGAUGCGUAGCCGACCUGAGAGGGUGAUCGGCCAUACUGGAACUGAGACACGGCCCAGACUCCUACGGGAGGCAGCAGUAGGGAAUCUUCCGCAAUGGGCGAAAGCCUGACGGAGCAACGCCGCGUGAUUGAUGAAGGUCUUCGGAUCGUAAAACUCUGUUAUUAGGGAAGAACAAAUGUGUAAGUAACUAUGCACGUCUUGACGGUACCUAAUCAGAAAGCCACGGCUAACUACGUG